ensembl:lncRNA
GUUUUAAAGGAAUUACUUUUUACUGCAUUGCACCAAUGUUGGAAAUUUAGAUAAAACUCCUUUGUUCUCUGUUUCUCUUCCAAUGUGCUGAUGUAAUCUUACACUCCGUUCCACGUCUCUGUUUCAGUGUUCCAGAAUGUGGGAUGGAUGCAAAAUAAGGCUGAACAUUAGAUUCCUGGAGUUUGUAAGGCAUUACGGUGUUUUUGUUGGAGAAGUGGGUUUCGAUCCGGUGUGAUCUCAGGUUCCUCUCUCCCACGCCGUAAGGAUGACAAGCUGUUACAGCAAAUGUCUCAAUCAUCA